UACGUAGGUGGCAAGCGUUGUCCGGAUUUACUGGGCGUAAAGAGCGCGCAGGCGGUCGUUCAAGUCGCGUGUGAAAGCCCCCGGCUCAACUGGGGAGGGUCAUUCGAUACUGUUCGACUCGAAGGCAGGAGAGGGAAGUGGAAUUCCGGGGUGUAGUGGUGAAAUGCGUAGAUAUCCGGAGGAACACCGGUGGCGAAGGCGGCAUCCUGGACCGGUAUUGACGCUGAGGCGCGAAAGCUAGGGGAGCAAACGGG
rnacentral:rRNA from 1 species